AUGGCCACGCUGGCAGCAUGGUGUGGGGCAAACCCUGUCCUGUGGGUGAUGGCCACCCCCCAGCUCGUCCCCAUGUCCUGGCCGCUGCCUCAUUGCAGGAGGGCUCCCAGGGGCUGCGGGCUCGCUGCUCCGCUCCCCAUCAGCUGCAGGAUUUAUAGGGGCACGUCAGGAUCCCCCGCCAAGUUUCAUUACUACACAUGCUCUCGUUUAAGGCUGGCAGUAAAGCACAGCAGUCACAGUUUACUCCGACAGGCGGGGGCUGAUGUCCCCAGCACACCGAGCUGGGCUCCCAGGGAGGCUCUCAGCUGCUGUCUGCCCCUCGGUGCUGGGGCCAGGCCGGGCAGCUGGGGCCAGCAGUUUGGGGACGCGCAGCACCUGCGUCCCCAGAGCCACCAAAGUGCUGUGCUCCCAUGGCGAACAAUCAGCCGCGGGUGCUCACCAGCCCCUGGGCCUCGGGGAGGAGCAGGCGAGCCUUUAGAGUCUCCCUGGAAUAUUUACUAUUGCUUUUAAUUGAUGAAAAUGGGUGAGGCUAAAUACAGAGCUCUGACGACGUUUAUUGUGCACCUCCUACCAGCACGGGGACGGCGAGGAGUCACUGGGACAGAGCCGGUGAUGGAAGGAUAAUUAAUAACCACUUCCAUGCCCAUGAAUGAUGCCCUUGCCAGGGAAGGAGAAUAUUUUCAGGCUGGAAGUUGGUGCUGUGAGCUCUGGAGAGGGAAGGGCCAGCACCCCUUGGUCACCCUGCAGUGACCCCCCCCGAGACAGUGCCCAGACCCCACUGUGCCAGGCAUGGUGGCUCCUUCCCGUGGGUCACAGCAGGAUGGCCCCAGCUGUUUGAGUCCCCUCCCUGGCUCGUUUGCCCUCAAAUUCAACCCGCGCAGCCCCUCAGGUGCUGGGGUCUCUGUAGGAAACUUGCUGAGCACUUGCAACUGCUCUGCUAUGAAAGCGGUGGUGGCGUUCUGCCUUUUUUUCCUUUGCUUUUGUUCCUCCCCUUCUCACUUCAAAUCUUCCUUUGAAACCAAAACUUCCUGUAGUCUGAAAUGGACAAUCAGGCCGCUCCAGCAGCUGCAGCCCGAGAGCUUCAGCUCUUGGCAGGAGGAUGAGAACUGCAAAACUAUUUCUUUGAGGCAAAUUAUGCAUUCAUCUAGCUCAUUUGAAACAAAAUAUGAUUUGCAAUUUAACUUUCCAUAAUGAGCUCCUGCUAUUAUACAGUUUCCAUAAUGGCUGGUUUCAUUGGAACAGAUUGUUGGUGCACAUGGUUUACAAAACAUUUUCAAUGCAAGCCCCGUUUUUUCUUAUUUUA
rnacentral:lncRNA from 1 species